rfam:Clostridium botulinum A2 str. Kyoto, complete genome.
UUUAUGCUUAGAUGAAAUAUGAAUGAAAUCUAUACAGAGUCUAGUCUGAGAGAUAGGAAUUAUAUAGAGUCUUACUAAUGAUGGAGAAGUUUGCUAAGCAAAACAAAGUCCAACACUAUCUAAAUCCUUAGGAAUAAAUAUAAGAGACAUAUGAUAUAAAGGUUAUAU